CUAACAAGGAUUCCCCUAGUAACGGCGAGUGAAGCGGGAAGAGCUCAAGCUUAAAAUCUCUGCGCAAGUUUUGCGUGGCGAAUUGUAGUCUAUAGAAGCGUGGUCAGCGCGGGCGCUUGGGGUAAGUUCCUUGGAAGAGGACAGCAUGGAGGGUGAUACUCCCGUUCAUACCUGAGUGGCUUGUGCGUACGACCCGUUUUCUUUGAGUCGCGUUGUUUGGGAAUGCAGCGCAAAGUAGGUGGUAAAUUCCAUCUAAAGCUAAAUAUUGGUGCGAGACCGAUAGCGAACAAGUACCGUGAGGGAAAGAUGAAAAGAACUUUGAAAAGAGAGUUAAAGAGUACCUGAAACUGCUGAAAGGGAACCGAAUCGUUUCCAGUGUCUAUAAUCUGUGGCAUAUUUCAUUGGCGAGUGUGUGUGUGCGUGUACUUUGGCAGUGGCUUUUUGGCUGCGCUAGGUGCGCGUUGUGCGUGUAUUUGCUGGUGCCCUGUGCUAUGGUGGGACGUCAAGGUCAGUUCGUAUGCUGCGGGAAAUGGCUGCUGAGGAGGUAGGGCUUACGCUUGCGUUUGUCUAUUAUAUCUUGGUGGACGAGUCGUCGCGGUUGGGACUGAGGUGCCUACAACGUGCUUUUGAGUCUGUGGAACUCUUCGUGUGCGUGCUGUGUAGAUAGCUUGCUAUGUGCGUGGUGCUGUGCGUGGAUUGAGGUCUGCUGUAACUUGUUGCCGUUCGGGACGUUGACGAAAUGGAGCGAUCCGACCCGUCUUGAAACACGGACCAAGGAGUCUAACAUGCGUGCAAGUGUUAGGGUGUGGAAACCCAAGCGCGAAAUGAAAGUGAAGGGCAGCGCAAGUUGUCUGAGGUAGGAAACGUGUGGCCUUUCGGGGCUGUGCGUGGCACUAUCGACCGAUCAUGAACCUUCGUGGUGAAAGAUUUGAGUUUGAGCACAUAUGUUGGUACCCGAAAGAUGGUGAACUAUGCCUGAGUAGGGUGAAGCCAGGGGAAACUCUGGUGGAAGCUCGUAGCGAUUCUGACGUGCAAAUCGAUCGUCAAACUUGGGUAUAGGGGCGAAAGACUAAUCGAACCAUCUAGUAGCUGGUUCCCUCCGAAAUUUCCCUCAGGAUAGCAGCAACUUUUUUACGAUAGUUUUAUGAGGUAAAGCGAAUGAUUAGAGGAUUCGGGGAAGAAACUUCCUCGACCUAUUCUCAAACUUUAAAUCUGUAAGACCUGCCGGUUUCUUAAUUGAACUGGCGGAUGUGAAUAUCAA
rnacentral:rRNA from 1 species